ACUAUAGCUUGACACUGAACAUUGAGCCUUGAUGUGUAGGAUAGGUGGGAGGCUUUGAAGUGUGGACGCCAGUCUGCAUGGAGCCGACCUUGAAAUACCACCCUUUAAUGUUUGAUGUUCUAACGUGGGCCCCUUACCGGGGUUGCGGACAGUGUCUGGUGGGUAGUUUGACUGGGGCGGUCUCCUCCUAAAGAGUAACGGAGGAGCACGAAGGUUGGCUAAUCCUGGUCGGACAUCAGGAGGUUAGUGCAAUGGCAUAAGCCAGCUUGACUGCGAGCGUGACGGCGCGAGCAGGUGCGAAAGCAGGUCAUAGUGAUCCGGUGGUUCUGAAUGGAAGGGCCAUCGCUCAACGGAUAAAAGGUACUCCGGGGAUAACAGGCUGAUACCGCCCAAGAGUUCAUAUCGACGGCGGUGUUUGGCACCUCGAUGUCGGCUCAUCACAUCCUGGGGCUGAAGUAGGUCCCAAGGGUAUGGCUGUUCGCCAUUUAAAGUGGUACGCGAGCUGGGUUUAGAACGUCGUGAGACAGUUCGGUCCCUAUCUGCCGUGGGCGCUGGAGAACUGAGGGGGGCUGCUCCUAGUACGAGAGGACCGGAGUGGACGCAUCACUGGUGUUCGGGUUGUCAUGCCAAUGGCACUGCCCGGUAGCUAAAUGCGGAAGAGAUAAGUGCUGAAAGCAUCUAAGCACGAAACUUGCCCCGAGAUGAGUUCUCCCUGACUCCUUGAGAGUCCUGAAGGAACGUUGAAGACGACGACGUUGAUAGGCCGGGUGUGUAAGCGCAGCGAUGCGUUGAGCUAACCGGUACUAAUGAACCGUGAGGCUUAACCUUACAACGCCGAAG
rnacentral:rRNA from 1 species